GACGAACGCUGGCGGGGUGCCUAAUACAUGCAAGUUGAGCGCUGAAGGUUGGUACUUGUACCAACUGGAUGAGCAGCGAACGGGUGAGUAACGCGUGGGGAAUCUGCCUUUGAGCGGGGGACAACAUUUGGAAACGAAUGCUAAUACCGCAUAAAAACUUUAAACACAAGUUUUAAGUUUGAAAGAUGCAAUUGCAUCACUCAAAGAUGAUCCCGCGUUGUAUUAGCUAGUUGGUGAGGUAAAGGCUCACCAAGGCGAUGAUACAUAGCCGACCUGAGAGGGUGAUCGGCCACAUUGGGACUGAGACACGGCCCAAACUCCUACGGGAGGCAGCAGUAGGGAAUCUUCGGCAAUGGACGAAAGUCUGACCGAGCAACGCCGCGUGAGUGAAGAAGGGUUUCGGAUCGUAAAACUCUGUUGGUAGAGAAGAACGUUGGUGAGAGUGGAAAGCUCAUCAAGUGACGGUAACUACCCAGAAAGGGACGGCUAACUACGUG
rnacentral:rRNA from 1 species